rfam:Myotis davidii contig57872, whole genome shotgun sequence.
GCUGGUGUGGCUCAGUGGAUGGAGCGUCGGCCUGUGGACUGAAGGGUUCCGGGUUCGAUUCCGGUCAAUGGCA